UUUCCGCCGGCGCGAAACGAGCGUAGCUUCCUUGUCGUGUGGCCUCAGUCCUUCGCCGUCCCUCGCCGUCCUUCGCCAUCGCACGCCACCGCACCCCAUCUCUCGAAAUCUGCAGACAUCUUGAUUUUUCCCACGCUGUCUGUCAGGUCUCCGCCGCCACUCGACGCCAGGGCGCCGGGCCUUGUGGGCUGUGCUGCACCUCGGACGGCUUCGCACCAGCCAGCGCCCUCUCUCUCCUGCAGCACUCUGAUCUGCACCCCCUGAGGGGCUUCCACUGUCCGCGGGGUGAGAAUGCCCCUGGGAGUGUCACAUGACUGCCGCCCCAUGUGUGUGAGAGGCGUCCUCUGGGAGAGCAUGGAUCCUGAGGUCCCAGGAUUGUCAGCUGACCUCUGUCCUGUGUGCCCAGUGGCCCCAGGUGACGUGUCUUCAAGAAGAGGCUGAGCUGCGGUGCUUGUAAGGGUCUCAUUCUGUCACCCAGGCUGGAGUGCAGUGGUGCAAUGAUGGCUCACUGCAGCCUCGACCUGGGCUCAAGUGAUCCUCCACCUCAGCUUCCUGAGUAGCUGGGACCACAGAGUCAUGUGCUGUUCCUGGGGCUUGGAUGAUGUAGGGGAAGCAAGGUGAAAGUGGUAUCCCGUGGUUCCACGUUCUGUCCUGCUGUGGGGCUGUCCCUCACAUGCUUUCAGUGGCUGUUGCAGAGGAAGAGCCUCCGGAAAUCUGCGUGGGUCUCAGCCUUAGAUCCAAGGACAGUCCAAGGAAGUCCUAAGACCAUGGAGUUGGUGAUCUGGGAUCUGGGUUUGCUGAUAUUUCUCACCGUGAAUCUCUUGGUGGUGUUUGUGGGCACGAGAGGGGCAGAGAAUGGAGAGUGAGGCUACCACAUGAAGCGUCACCAGAGCUGCUCCCUGCUGCCUGCUCAGAGCACCCCGGAUCCACUGUUCAAUCUGCACAAGAUUCGGGGUCCAGACAUGGGAGACUUCAGCUGCCUCAGAGGACCGUGGACAGGGAAGGCCAGCCUCGCAUCCCUCUGUCCAUGCCUGGAAUGACUUUAAUAACCAAGAGUUUUAUUUUUGAAUUUGUAGCUGUCGUUCACUUUUUACCCACCCAUUCAAUAAACCUUACAGAAUUGCU
rnacentral:lncRNA from 1 species